GGGUAAGGUUUAAGGUUUUUGGCGUUAGGGUUAAAAUCACUGUCCAAAACCUUUGUAGGAACUCUUUUCCAACCUUUUGGAGUUAGUUAGACCAAAAAAAGAAUGAAAAAUGAAAAAAAUAUUUGGGGUGUUCAGGCUUCCUGAAGGCAAUACCCGAGUAUUAGAUUUCAAGGCUAGGGUAAGGUUUAAGGUUUUUGGCGUUAGGGUUAAAAUCACUGUCCAAAACCUUUGUAGGAACUCUUUUCCAACCUUUUGGAGUUAGUUAGACCAAAAAAAAUGAAAAAUGAAAAAAAAAUAUUUGGGGUGUUCAGGCUUCCUAAAAGUAAUACCCGGGUAUUAGGUUAUGGGGCUAUGGUAAGGUUUAAGGUUUUUGGCGUUAGGGUUAAAAUCACUGUCCAAAACCUUUGUAGGAACUCUUUUCCAACCUUUUGGAGUUGGUUAGACCAAAAAAAAAGAAAAAUGAAAAAAAAAUAUUUGGGGUGUUCAGGCUUCCUAAAAGUAAUACCCAGGGUAUUAGGUUAUGGGGCUAUGGUAAGGUUUAAGUUUUUUGGCGUUAGGGUUAAAAUCACUGUCCAAAACCUUUGUAGGAACUCUUUUCCAACCUUUUGGAGUUAGUUAGACCAAAAAAAAUGAAAAAUUAAAAAAAAAUAUUUGGGGUGUUCAGGCUUCCUGAAUGUAAUACCCGGGUAUUAGAUUUCAAGGCUAGGGUAAGGUUUAAGGUUUUUGGCGUUAGGGUUAAAAUCACUGUCCAAAACCUUUGUAGGAACUCUUUUCCAACCUUUUGGAGUUAGUUAGACCAAAAAAUAUGAAAAAAGAAAAAAAUAUUUUGGGUGUUCAGGCUUCCUGAAGGUAAUACCCGGGUAUUAGAUUUCAAGGCUAGGGUAAGGUUUAAGGUUUUUGGCGUUAGGGUUAAAAUCACUGUCCAAAACCUUUGUAGGAACUCUUUUCCAACCUUUUGGAGUUGGUUACACCAAAAAAAAAUGUAAAAUGAAAAAAAAAAUAUUUGGGGUGUUCGGGCUUCCUGAAUGUAAUACCCGGGUAUUAGAUUUUAAGGCUAGGGUAAGGUUUAAGUUUUUUGGCGUUAGGGUUAAAAUCACUGUCCAAAACCUUUGUAGGAACUCUUUUCCAACCUUUUGGAGUUAGUUAGACCAAAAAAAAAAGAAAAAUGAAAAAAAAAAUAUUUGGGGUGUUCAGGCUUCCUAAAAGUAAUACCUGGGUAUUAGGUUAUGGGGCUAUGGUAAGGUUUAAGGUUUUUGGCGUUAGGGUUAAAAUCACUGUCCAAAACCUUUGUAGGAACUCUUUUCCAACCUUUUGGAGUUAGUUAACCAAAAAAAAAUGAAAAAUGAAAAAAAAUAUAUUGGGGGUUUUCGGGCUUCCUGAAUGUAAUACCCGGGUAUUAGAUUUUAAGGCUAGGGUAAGGUUUAAGUUUUUUGGCAUUAGGGUUAAAAUCACUGUCCAAAACCUUUGUAGGAACUCUUUUCCAACCUUUUGGAGUUGGUUACACCAAAAAAAAUGUAAAAUGAAAAAAAAAUAUUUGGGGUGUUCGGGCUUCCUGAAAGUAAUACCCGGGUAUUAGAUUUUAAGGCUAGGGUAAGGUUUAAGUUUUUUGGCGUUAGGGUUAAAAUCACUGUCCAAAACCUUUGUAGGAACUCUUUUCCAACCUUUUGGAGUUGGUUAGACCAAAAAAGAAAAAUGAAAAAAAAAAUAUUUGGGGUGUUCAGGCUUCCUGAAGGUAAUACCCGGGUAUUAGGUUAUGGGGCUAGGGUAAGGUUUAAGGUUUUUGGCGUUAGGGUUAAAAUCACUGUCCAAAACCUUUGUAGGAACUCUUUUCCAACCUUUUGGAGUUAGUUAGACCAAAAAAAAAUGAAAAAUUAAAAAACAAUAUUUGGGGUUUUCGGGGUUCCUGAAUGUAAUACCCGGGUAUUAGAUUUCAAGGCUAGGGUAAGGUUUAAGGUUUUUGGCGUUAGGGUUAAAAUCACUGUCCAAAACCUUUGUAGGAACUCUUUUCCAACCUUUUGGAGUUAGUUAGACCAAAAAAUAUGAAAAAAGAAAAAAAUAUUUGGGGUGUUCAGGCUUCCUGAAGGUAAUACCCGGGUAUUAGAUUUUAAGGCUAGGGUAAGGUUUAAGGUUUUUGGCGUUAGGGUUAAAAUCACUGUCCAAAACCUUUGUAGGAACUCUUUUCCAACCUUUUGGAGUUAGUUAGACCAAAAAAAAUGAAAAAUGAAAAAAAAAUAUUUGGGGUGUUCAGGCUUCCUAAAAGUAAUACCCGGGUAUUAGGUUAUGGGGCUAUGGUAAGGUUUAAGGUUUUUGGCGUUAGGGUUAAAAUCACUGUCCAAAACCUUUGUAGGAACUCUUUUCCAACCUUUUGGAGUUAGUUAGACCAAAAAAAAAUGAAAAAUUAAAAAACAAUAUUUGGGGUUUUCGGGGUUCCUGAAUGUAAUACCCGGGUAUUAGAUUUCAAGGCUAGGGUAAGGUUUAAGGUUUUUGGCGUUAGGGUUAAAAUCACUGUCCAAAACCUUUGUAGGAACUCUUUUCCAACCUUUUGGAGUUAGUUAGACCAAAAAAUAUGAAAAAAGAAAAAAAUAUUUGGGGUGUUCAGGCUUCCUGAAGGUAAUACCCGGGUAUUAGAUUUCAAGGCUAGGGUAAGGUUUAAGGUUUUUGGCGUUAGGGUUAAAAUCACUGUCCAAAACCUUUGUAGGAACUCUUUUCCAACCUUUUGGAGUUAGUUAGACCAAAAAAAAAAGAAAAAUGAAAAAAAAAUAUUUGGGGUGUUCAGGCUUCCUAAAAGUAAUACCCGGGUAUUAGGUUAUGGGGCUAGGGUAAGGUUUAAGGUUUUUGGCGUUAGGGUUAAAAUCACUGUCCAAAACCUUUGUAGGAACUCUUUUCCAACCUUUUGGAGUUAGUUAGACCAAAAAAAAAAGAAAAAUGAAAAAAUAUAUAUUUGGGGUUUUCGGGCUUCCUGAAUGUAAUACCCGGGUAUUAGAUUUUAAGGCUAGGGUAAGGUUUAAGUUUUUUGGCGUUAGGGUUAAAAUCACUGUCCAAAACCUUUGUAGGAACUCUUUUCCAACCUUUUGGAGUUAGUUAGACCAAAAAAAAUGAAAAAAAAAAAAAUAUAUAUUUGGGGUUUUCGGGCUUCCUGAAUGUAAUACCCGGGUAUUAGAUUUUAAGGCUAGGGUAAGGUUUAAGUUUUUUGGCGUUAGGGUUAAAAUCACUGUCCAAAACCUUUGUAGGAACUCUUUUCCAACCUUUUGGAGUUAGUUAGACCAAAAAAAAAAAGAAAAAUGAAAAAAAAAUAUUUGGGGUGUUCAGGCUUCCUAAAAGUAAUACCCGGGUAUUAGGUUAUGGGGCUAUGGUAAGGUUUAAGGUUUUUGGCGUUAGGGUUAAAAUCACUGUCCAAAACCUUUGUAGGAACUCUUUUCCAACCUUUUGGAGUUAGUUAGACCAAAAAAUAUGAAAAAAGAAAAAAAUAUUUGGGGUGUUCAGGCUUCCUGAAGGUAAUACCCGGGUAUUAGAUUUCAAGGCUAGGGUAAGGUUUAAGGUUUUUGGCGUUAGGGUUAAAAUCACUGUCCAAAACCUUUGUAGGAACUCUUUUCCAACCUUUUGGAGUUAGUUAGACCAAAAAAAAUGAAAAAUGAAAAAAAAAUAUUUGGGGUGUUCAGGCUUCCUAAAAGUAAUACCCGGGUAUUAGGUUAUGGGGCUAUGGUAAGGUUUAAGGUUUUUGGCGUUAGGGUUAAAAUCACUGUCCAAAACCUUUGUAGGAACUCUUUUCCAACCUUUUGGAGUUAGUUAGACCAAAAAAAAAUGAAAAAUUAAAAAACAAUAUUUGGGGUUUUCGGGGUUCCUGAAUGUAAUACCCGGGUAUUAGAUUU